rnacentral:rRNA from 1 species
AUUGAACGCUGGCGGCAGGCCUAACACAUGCAAGUCGAGCGGAUGAAGGGAGCUUGCUCCUGGAUUCAGCGGCGGACGGGUGAGUAAUGCCUAGGAAUCUGCCUGGUAGUGGGGGAUAACGUCCGGAAACGGGCGCUAAUACCGCAUACGUCCUGAGGGAGAAAGUGGGGGAUCUUCGGACCUCACGCUAUCAGAUGAGCCUAGGUCGGAUUAGCUAGUUGGUGGGGUAAAGGCCUACCAAGGCGACGAUCCGUAACUGGUCUGAGAGGAUGAUCAGUCACACGGGAACUGAGACACGGUCCAGACUCCUAAGGGAGGCAGCAGUGGGGAAUAUUGGACAAUGGGCGAAAGCCUGAUCCAGCCAUGCCGCGUGUGUGAAGAAGGUCUUCGGAUUGUAAAGCACUUUAAGUUGGGAGGAAGGGCAGUAAGUUAAUACCUUGCUGUUUUGACGUUACCAACAGAAUAAGCACCGGCUAACUUCGUG